AGAGUUUGAUCAUGGCUCAGGACGAACGCUGGCGGCGUGGAUUAGGCAUGCAAGUCGAACGGUAUAAACCUUUCGGGGUUUAGAGAGUGGCGAACGGGUGAGUAACACGUAGGUAAUCUACCCUCAAAACGGGGACAACCCAGGGAAACUUGGGCUAAUACCGGAUGCGUGCAAGCAAUGUUUUGGUUGUUAAUGCUAUUCACGGAAGUGAGUAGUGUUAAUGGUUGAGAGCAUUAUUUGCAUAAAAGGUGGCAUAUGCUGCCGUUUGAGGAUGAGCCUGCGUCCUAUUAGUUAGUUGGUGAGGUAAUGGCUUACCAAGGCGAUGAUAGGUAGGCGGCCUUAACGGGUGGUCGCCCACACUGGGAUUGAGAGACGGCCCAGACUCCUACGGGAGGCAGCAGUCGAGAAUAGUCUACAAUGGACGGAAGUCUGAUAGUGCGACGCCGCGUGAACGAAGAAUCCCUUCGGGGUGUAAAGUUCUUUUAUACGUGAGCAGUGCCCUUUAUAUGAAUAGUAUAGAGGGAGGGAUUUAAGCGUAUGAAUAAGCAACGGCUAACUCCGUGCCAGCAGCCGCGGUAACACGGGGGUUGCAAGCGUUGUCCGGAAUUACUAGGCGUAAAGUGCAGGUAGGCGGAUAGAUAAGUUUAAGGUUAAAGGCUACGGCUUACCCGUAGUAAGGCGUUAGAUACUGUUUAUCUGGAAUGCGGUUGAGGGAGACAGAAUUCCUGGUGUAGCGGUGGAAUGCGCAGAGAUCAGGAGGAAUACCGAAAGCGAAAGCAGUCUUCUAAGCCGAUAUUGACGCUAAACUGCGAAGGUGUGGGGAUCAAACAGGAUUAGAUACCCUGUAGUCCACACAGUAAACGAUAAUCACUAGGUGUUGGGUUCGUAUAGGACUCGGUGCCGGAGCUAACGCGAUAAGUGAUUCGCCUGGGGAGUACGAUCGCAAGGUUGAAACUCAAAUGAAUUGACGG
rnacentral:rRNA from 1 species